AGUUUGAUCAUGGCUCAGAUUGAACGCUGGCGGCAGGCCUAACACAUGCAAGUCGAACGGUAACAGGAAGCAGCUUGCUGCUUUGCUGACGAGUGGCGGACGGGUGAGUAAUGUCUGGGAAACUGCCCGAUGGAGGGGGAUAACUACUGGAAACGGUAGCUAAUACCGCAUAACGUCGCAAGACCAAAGAGGGGGACCUUAGGGCCUCUUGCCAUCGGAUGUGCCCAGAUGGGAUUAGCUAGUAGGUGGGGUAAA
rnacentral:rRNA from 1 species